GCUAAAGUUUUGCUAUUUCAAUUUCAACAGUUUUCCAAAUUUACAAAAAAGAGAGACAAUCUCAGUUUAUGUAUCUAAUGCUUAGUUUUCAUGUAUUAGUUUGUAAUUAGGUAGGUUUAUGGAGAACCACUAGUGGAAGGUCAAUGAUAUUUGGUGUGCAGUGGUAUAAACGUUGGCAAGUCUCAUUACCAUGGAGAUUAUUUGACACCUACCCC
rnacentral:lncRNA from 1 species